UACGACUCAUAUAAAAGUGAAAAGAUUUGCACUCUACAGUAUCUCCAGUAGGAAGUUAUACAACACCAAGGAAGCAAAAGAGAUUUAUAAUCAUCUGAAGCUGCAAAGCGAUUCCCAUCAAAAAAAAAAAAAAACCUGCAAAGCGAUGGUUAUGUCAACUCCAAGUUGGCAGAUAUCAGAUUCUUCAGCAAUUGAUUUAUAUAGUAAUAAAUCAGUGAUAUGUUUUAUUCACCUCCAGCGGAAGUAGUUCAUACCAUCUACCAUGCCUGUCUCUAGAAUGACACAAUGAGCUCGUGUUAAACUUGCUUGAGUACUACCUGCUUGAGAGGUCCAUCAUCACCUCAUCAGUUGGUCAAUAUUCACAGCCUAGGGCUAGUUGCUUCUCCAUCCUUUACCAGUUGCUCUUCAAUAAAUAAACAAACGAUUUUCAGUUGCUUCUCCAUCAUAAUAAGACCCAAGGAUUGAUACAUGUUGCUCUUCAAUAAAUAAACAAAUGAUUUUCCGUUCGUGCAUGCAAGCUUUCACAUUACCCCAAAACAUGGUGUUUUGUGAAACAAACUUCAAGAUCUGUGGUUUUGUGAUACCCAUGGACAAAACCUGAGGUUUUGCAGAAUUUACUCAACUAAAUACUAGUAACUAAUUAGUCCAAACCCAAAAGGACCCAAAAGGGUAGGCCUUUCAAUUCACACACACUUCAUUUUGAAGACAGAUUUAUGUUGGUAAACAUGUAACGUAAACAAAUUAGAAGACCAUUGGAAACCAAGAUAGUUCAAGCUUUAACUGGAAAGAAGAAAUUAUUGAUUACCCAAUCCCCAACCAUUCUCUAGUCUAUGUUCAGAUCAUGAAAUUUCACUGGCAUUUUCUGGUAGUGUAACUUGCUGCAUUUGCAAAUUGCAAACAUAGUCACAAGGCUUCAGGCAUUCCUUCAGUGCAUGAAUGUACAGAGCACAGUCAACAGCAAGAAUUAUCUCUAUCUGUC
rnacentral:lncRNA from 1 species